UACGGAGGAUCCGAGCGUUAUCCGGAUUUAUUGGGUUUAAAGGGUGCUCAGGCGGGCCAUUAAGUCAGCGGUGAAAUUUUGCGGCUCAACCGUAAAAGUGCCUUCGAUACUGGUGGUCUUGAGUGUGGAUGAGGUAGGCGGAAUUUGUGGUGUAGCGGUGAAAUGCAUAGAUAUCACGAGGAACUCCGAUUGCUAAGGCAGCUUACUAAGCCAUAACUGACGCUCAAGCACGAAGGCGUGGGGAUCAAACAGGAUUAGAUACCCU
rnacentral:rRNA from 1 species